AACGCUAUCAUCGCCGCUCACACCUGCAAUGCCUUCACCAUAGCGGCAACCAUGGAGUAGCGGUCCCCUUCCCCGUGGGACCAGCACAAGUACCAGCAUUCGUCGAACGUCAAGAUUAAUCAGAAGCGGGGAGCUUUAUCAGUCGUACUUUGUUGCGCAAAUCUCCUCUGUCCAGCACACUGUUUGAUCGAGUAUUUCUUGACAGGGAGUUGAAGAACAAGGGGCAGCUCUGACCCUCGUGAUCAACCCCAGCCAUGUAUUGGACGCCUGCUACUAACUAUUUGUAUGGUAUGUAGGGUUCUUUACAACGAGUAUGCUGUAUAUACGACAUGCCUAUCUUUAACUGUAGUCCCAUCUGGCUAUCCAUGCUUUGCA
rnacentral:lncRNA from 1 species